AGAAUCAUAAUCAGAGUAACAAGCAGGAGAAACAGUACCCACAUAACCAAAAUAGGUAGGCAUGGGAAAGAAAGGGGAAAAGAAGAAUGCAAUGAAAAUAUGCAACUAAAGCUACCUAAAUGCAACACACAUAACACACAUACAAAAAUGAACACACAAAACAGAACAUCAGACUCACAACACAAGACAAGACACAACACACACUAACACAACAAAUGACCUAAAACCGAACCGUUGGUCCCCAACAACGGCGCCAAAAUUUUGAUGGGUGUCGCACCCCAUGCAAAAUUUAAUGUGCAUAAAAGAAUGCAGUAUAGACUAGGAAGU
rnacentral:lncRNA from 1 species